UACAGAGGGGGCAAGCGUUAUUCGGAAUUAUUGGGCGUAAAGAGCUCGUAGGCGGCUUGUCGCGUCUGCCGUGAAAGUCCGGGGCUCAACUCCGGAUCUGCGGUGGGUACGGGCAGACUGGAGUGUGGUAGGGGAGACUGGAAUUCCUGGUGUAGCGGUGGAAUGCGCAGAUAUCAGGAGGAACACCGGUGGUGUAGACGGCUUUCUGGACCGUAACUGACGCUGAGACACGAAAGCGUGGGGAGCAAACAGG
rnacentral:rRNA from 1 species